rnacentral:rRNA from 1 species
GAUGAACGCUGGCGGCGUGCCUCAAACAUGCAAGUCGAGCGGGGCUAUGUAAUAUCGCAAGGUAGAACAUAGCCUAGCGGCGAACGGGUGAGUAACACGUGGGUAACCUGCCUGGAAGACAGGGAUAACGAUUCGAAAGGGUCGCUAAUACCUGAUAAUAUCCUUUCAUCGCAUGGUGAUAGGAAGAAAGGGGAAACCCGCUUUCAGAUGGGCCCGCGUCCCAUCAGCUAGUUGGUAAGGUAAAGGCUUACCAAGGCGACGACGGGUAGCCGGUCUGAGAGGAUGUACGGCCACACUGGGACUGAGAUACGGCCCAGACUCCUACGGGAGGCAGCAGUUGGGAAUCUUAGGCAAUGGACGAAAGUCUGACCUAGCGACGCCGCGUGAGGGAAGAAGGCCUUCGGGUUGUAAACCUCUGUCAGUGGGGAAGAAGUAGUGACGGUACCCAGAGAAGCCCUGCUAACUACGUGCCAGCAGCCGCGGUAAUCGUACUCUAU